UUUUUCGAGAGUUUGAUCCUGGCUCAGGAUGAACGCUGGCUGUGUGCCUAAUACAUGCAUGUCGAGCGAAGUUCUUCGGAACUUAGCGGCGAAUGGGUGAGUAACACGUACUCAACGUACCCUUUAGAUUGGGAUAGCGGUUGGAAACAGCCGAUAAUACCAAAUAUGCACAUUUUUCGCAUGAAAAGUGUGUGAAAGGAGCAAUUGUUCCGCUAAAGGAGCGGGGUGCGCAACAUUAGCUAGUUGGUGAGGUAACGGCCCACCAAGGCGAUGAUGUUUAGCGGGGUUGAGAGACUGAACCGCCACACUGGGACUGAGAUACGGCCCAGACUCCUACGGGAGGCAGCAGUAGGGAAUAUUCCACAAUGGACGAAAGUCUGAUGGAGCGACACAGCGUGCAGGAUGAAGGCCCCAUGGGUUGUAAACUGCUGUGGUAAGGGAAGAAAAAGCAGAAGAGUGGAACGCUUUUGCCUUGACGGUACCUUAUUAGAAAGCGACGGCUAACUAUGUGCCAGCAGCCGCGGUAAUACAUAGGUCGCAAGCGUUAUCCGGAAUUAUUGGGCGUAAAGCGUCUGUAGGUUGUUUGUUAAGUCUGACGUCAAAUUUUGGGGCUCAACCCCAAACCGCGUUGGAUACUGGCAUACUAGAGUUAUGUAGAGGUUAGCGGAAUUCCUUGUGAAGCGGUGGAAUGCGUAGAUAUAAGGAAGAACACCAAUAUGGCGAAGGCAGCUAACUGGACAUACACUGACACUGAGAGACGAAAGCGUGGGGAGCAAACAGGAUUAGAUACCCUGGUAGUCCACGCCCUAAACGAUGAUCAUUAGCUGAUGGAAAAUUCAUCGGCGCAGCUAACGCAUUAAAUGAUCCGCCUGAGUAGUACGUUCGCAAGAAUAAAACUUAAAGGAAUUGACGGGGAUCCGCACAAGCGGUGGAGCAUGUGGUUUAAUUUGAAGAUACGCGUAGAACCUUACCCACUCUUGACAUCUUCUGCAAAGCUAUAGAGAUAUAGUGGAGGUUAACAGAAUGACAGAUGGUGCAUGGUUGUCGUCAGCUCGUGUCGUGAGAUGUACGGUUAAGUCCUGCAACGAGCGCAACCCUUGUCCUUAGUUACUAACAUUAAGUUGAGCACUCUAAGGAGACUGCCCGAGUAAUUGGGAGGAAGGUGGGGACGACGUCAAAUCAUCAUGCCUCUUACGAGUGGGGCAACACACGUGCUACAAUGGUCGGUACAAAGAGAAGCAAACUGGUGACAGGGAGCAAACCUCAAAAAACCGAUCUCAGUUCGGAUUGUAGUCUGCAACUCGACUACAUGAAGUCGGAAUCGCUAGUAAUCGUAGAUCAGCUACGCUACGGUGAAUACGUUCUCGGGUCUUGUACACACCGCCCGUCAAACCAUGGGAGCUGGUAAUGCCCGAAGUCGGUUUAUAAACAAACUGCCUAAGGCAGGACUGGUGACUGGGGUUAAGUCGUAACAAGGUAUCCCUACGAGAACGUGGGGAUGGAUCACCUCCUUU
rnacentral:rRNA from 1 species